rnacentral:rRNA from 1 species
AUACGUAGGUGGCGAGCGUUAUCCGGAUUUACUGGGUGUAAAGGGCGCGUAGGCGGGGAAGCAAGUCAGAUGUGAAAUCCAUGGGCUCAACUCAUGAACUGCAUUUGAAACUGUUUCUCUUGAGUGCCGGAGAGGUAGACGGAAUUCCUAGUGUAGCGGUGAAAUGCGUAGAUAUUAGGAGGAACACCAGUGGCGAAGGCGGUCUACUGGACGGUAACUGACGCUGAGGCGCGAAAGCGUAGGGAGCAAACAGGAUUAGAUACCCUGGUAGUCCACGCUGUAAACGAUGAAUACUAGGUGUGGGGGGACUGACCCCCUCCGUGCCGCAGUUAACACAAUAAGUAUUCCACCUGGGGAGUACGGCCGCAAGGCUGAAACUCAAAGGAAUUGACGGGG